GGGGAUGUAAAGGUUUCGACAGCUUUCUAGAAGUAUAAAUAGCGAGUGGUGGAGUACCUGGCCACCUAAAAAGGUACAAAUAAAAAUAAACGCUGAUAACGAAGAAUUAGCAUUUGCUGCCUAAUUGCAGCAACGUCUUACUUUAGUAACCUACGACUUUAGAUAAGGCGACGAUUAGUAGGAAACGAAUUUAUUAUUUUCUUCAGUAAUAAAGGGAUUUUAGAAGAUAUGUUUAAAAAAAGUUUGUUUGUUAACGAUUUUUAAAUGAAAAACAAUAACAAACUGCACUCGGAGAAGUUUAUAUGGAAGGAAUUCUGGACAGGAGUUCGACUCUCCUCAUCUCCACCA
rnacentral:tmRNA from 1 species